CCUACGGGGGGCAGCAGUGGGGAAUAUUGCACAAUGGGCGAAAGCCUGAUGCAGCGACGCCGCGUGAGUGAAGAAGGCCUUCGGGUCGUAAAACUCUGUCCUUGGUGAAGAAAAAAAUGACGGUAGCCAAGGAGGAAGCCCCGGCUAACUACGUGCCAGCAGCCGCGGUAAUACGUAGGGGGCGAGCGUUGUCCGGAUUUACUGGGCGUAAAGGGUGAGUAGGCGGUUGUAUAUGUCAGAUGUAAAAGCCCCGGGCUCAACCCGGGAACUGCAUUUGGAACUGGCAGACUAGAGUCUUGGAGAGGGGGGUAGAAUUUCCGGUGUAGCGGUGAAAUGCGUAGAGAUCGGAAGGAAUACCAGUGGCGAAGGCGGCCCCCUGGACAAAGACUGACGCUCAGGCACGAAAGCGUGGGGAUCAAACAGGAUUAGAUACCCUGGUAGUC
rnacentral:rRNA from 1 species